rnacentral:rRNA from 1 species
UACGAACCGUCCAAACGUUAUUCGGAAUUAUUGGGCUUAAAGGGUGCGUAGGCGGCGCGGAAAGUUGGGUGUGAAAUCCCUCGGCUCAACCGAGGAACGGCGCCCAAUACUACCGUGCUCGAGGGAGAUAGAGGUAAGCGGAACUGAUGGUGGAGCGGUGAAAUGCGUUGAUAUCAUCAGGAACACCAGUGGCGAAAGCGGCUUACUGGGUCUCUUCUGACGCUGAGGCACGAAAGCUAGGGGAGCGAACGGG